UAGGGAAUCUUCGGCAAUGGACGAAAGUCUGACCGAGCAACGCCGCGUGAGUGAAGAAGGUUUUCGGAUCGUAAAACUCUGUUGUUAGAGAAGAACAAGGACGUUAGUAACUGAACGUCCCCUGACGGUAUCUAACCAGAAAGCCACGGCUAACUACGUGCCAGCAGCCGCGGUAAUACGUAGGUGGCAAGCGUUGUCCGGAUUUAUUGGGCGUAAAGCGAGCGCAGGCGGUUUCUUAAGUCUGAUGUGAAAGCCCCCGGCUCAACCGGGGAGGGUUAUUGGAAACUGGCAGACUUGAGUGCAGAAGAGGCGAGUGGAAUUCCAUGUGUAGCGGUGAAAUGCGUAGCUAUAUGGAGGAACACCAGUCGCGAAGGCGGCUCUCUGGUCUGUAACUGACGCUGAGGCUCGAAAGCGUGGGGAGCAAACAGG
rnacentral:rRNA from 1 species